GGAGGAUAGCUUGAGUUCAGGAGUUGGAAGCUGCAGUGAGCUAUGAUUGUGCCACUACACUCCAGCCUGAGUGACAGAGCAAGACCUU
rnacentral:miRNA from 1 species